rnacentral:sRNA from 1 species
AGAGAUGCCACAAUGGGGGUUGAUUUUUUUUUUUACAUGGGAAUAAGUAGAGAAAAAUAUUUUAAAAUCGUCUUCUUAUGCUCAGUGUGUGAUAUGACAAUGAAAUCAUCCUAUUAUAAAAGGGGCUCAAUGUUUUCCAUAACAAUUUCUAGAGGCAGAACUUAAAUUCUUUUAAUGCAGAAUCUUUUUCACUUCAUUGUCCAUAUAUUUUUACAUGACUUAAUACCGCUAAUUUUAUUAUGCCUAUUGUUGGUCAGGUGAGAGAUGUCGUCCAUGGGCCUCUUGUUUUUUGUCUUGUUUAUACCAGGAUCCGACUCUUUGUGACAUCACUGAUCUCUUUGAAGCUUCCUACUUUUAUAUAUGUAGGGGUAAAAGAAAUAAUUGUAUUUUGUUUGUAUUCAGAGGAGGCUUGUUCGUGCGGGCCGACAAAAAAGGAUGAAUGUGAAUUUUUUUGACGUCAAGUUAUGCUUGUAUCUAUGGAUACAGCAGACAUCUACAUGUACGUAACUGUAAUUAAAGAAUUUUUAAAAUAUUUGUCAAUAUGCAGUUAAUGUGUGAUUUUGUUAUAGAAUCGUAGCUUCAUGAAAUGAAUAAAUGUUUCUAAGAUACUCACUGAC